rnacentral:rRNA from 1 species
GAUGAACGCUGGCGGCAUGCCUUACACAUGCAAGUCGAACGGCAGCACGGGAGCAAUCCUGGUGGCGAGUGGCGAACGGGUGAGUAAUAUAUCGGAACGUGCCCAGUCGGGGGGGAUAACGCAGCGAAAGCUGUGCUAAUACCGCAUACGAUCUAAGGAUGAAAGCGGGGGAUCGCAAGACCUCGCGCGAUUGGAGCGGCCGAUAUCAGAUUAGCUAGUUGGUGGGGUAAAGGCCCACCAAGGCGACGAUCUGUAGCUGGUCUGAGAGGACGACCAGCCACACUGGAACUGAGACACGGUCCAGACUCCUACGGGAGGCAGCAGUGGGGAAUUUUGGACAAUGGGCGCAAGCCUGAUCCAGCAAUGCCGCGUGCAGGAUGAAGGCCUUCGGGUUGUAAACUGCUUUUGUACGGAACGAAACGGCCCUUUCUAAUACGGGGGGCUAAUGACGGUACCGUAAGAAUAAGCACCGGCUAACUACGUGCCAGCCGCCGCAGUAA